GACCAACCUCUGGUAUACCGGUUGUGGCGCCAGCUGCACCGCCGGGUAUCCACGUUGGGUCAGGAUAAGCGCUGAAAGCAUCUAAGCGCGAAGCCGUCUGCGAGAUGAGGUUUCCUUUGAGGGCCGUGGGAGACUACCACGUUGAUAGGCAGGAGAUGUAAUGCCGGUAACGGUAUCAGUCGACCUGUACUAAUAGCCCGAAAUCUUUCGGUGA
rnacentral:rRNA from 1 species